GAUGAAGAACGUAGCGAAAUGCGAUAAGUAAUGUGAAUUGCAGAAUUCAGUGAAUCAUCGAAUCUUUGAACGCACCUUGCGCCCUUUGGCCAUUCCGAAGGGCAUGCCUGUUUGAGUAUCAUGAACACCUCAACUCUUUAUGGUUUUCCAUGAUGAGCUUGGACUCUGGGGGUUUUGCUGGCUCACAGACGGCUCCUCUAAAAUGAAUCAGCUUACCAGUGUUUGGUGGGUAUCAUGGGUGUGAUAACUAUCUACGCUUGUGGUUUUUCCACCAGGUAACCUUCAGCAGUGGAGGUUCGCUGGAGCUCAUAGAUGUCUCUCCUCAGUGAGGACAGCCCUUUGAAUGUUUGAUCUCAAAUCAGGUAGGACUACCCGCUGAACUUAAGCAUAUCAAUAACGGAGGA
rnacentral:misc_RNA from 1 species